ACUAUCUCCGUUUGUCUUCAAUUCUGCUAAUGGAUUGGUGCACAAUAGAUGCAAUGCUAUUGUGAUUUGUGCCUUCUCAAGUCUGAAGAAGUGCAGAUUUUGUUACUUUAACAUUUUUUGAAACAAUUGUUAAUUGAAGCUGGCAAUUGGCAUGUACAGCUCCUGAAUCCUAGGAUGGAUGUACAUAGUUAUCAUGAACUUCUGUCAGCAAUACGGUUGCUUAUCUCAGAGGAUCAAUGCGGUGGCAGAUUUGUUUUUAGUCGUCAGGUUUUACUAACUUCCAAGCCAUGAGCUGCAGCAGCACCACCAGCUCCAAUGUCAAGGACAGAAAGCGGUUCUGGAGGUGAAAAUUCUAAGUCUCAGCUACAUACGUCGGUUUUAGUAACUUCCAAGCCAUGUGCUGCAGCAGCUCCGCCAGCUCCGAUGUCAAGGACAGAAAGUGGUCCGGGAGGUGAAAAUUCUAAGUCUCAGCUGCAGAUGUUGCUGAAUCGAGCAGGAUAUGC
rnacentral:lncRNA from 1 species